AGCCCAGCAGCUCUCCUGGCCUCUGACGGACAACUUUGAGAAGAUGGCAAAGCAAGGGGCUGGAUCAUCAUCCAGCCAGCAGAGAAUCAAAGGAUAUUUUGGGUUGGAAGAGACCUUAAAGAUCACCUUGUUCCAACCCCCUGCCAUGGGCAGGGACACCUCCACUAACAGAGGCUGUUCAGAGCCCUGGCCACCUGGCCUUGGACACCUCCAGGGAAGGGUUCCUUGGUCUUUUCCUGGCAUCCCAGCUUUCCCAACCUUCAUGAAAAUGUUUCCUCUGAGGGUACCAGGACAAGCUUGAGGAUGAAGAGCCCACAAAAAGACUUGGCGGAGUUUUGUGCCACUUCCCAUUUCGGUGGAGGACAUCAGGAUGCAGAGAAGGGGGCAGACAGCAGGUCCCAAGACACAAGAUAAAAGCCCCUGGUUAGCCAGAGUGUCUCACUGCACCACCUCCUCUGUGAGCUGAUGCUUUCACCUGCCUUGAGAAAAACCCACCAACAAGAAGAUGGAAAACACCACCAGCAGUGCAACCUGAGUUUUGAACAGAGAGGAAGCAGAAAUACUGACAAUUCCAGAGCAGGCUUCUCUCAUUUCAGUGACCAAAACCACCAAAUAUUGCAAGUCUCAUAAAAAGUGAAGACCCUAAAUCUCCAGCAUGUUGUACACAAAUGAUCUGCGCUUUAUAAAACCUCUCCUGGACACAAUUUUUUUAUCCUCCCUCCAGGUUUCAAGCAAAGAAAGGUAUACCAUUCCUUGAUUGUAUUUGUGAGCACCUGAUGUUUGCAGUUUAAAUCAUCACAUGUUUCUGACGACUGGCUACAACAGCCUGGAAAACACCUUUCUUCCCAAGACCCUUCCCUGCCCCACCUCCUCGCAUGGGGGAAUACAGAUCAAGAGAGGAUGUGGGGCUGCAAGACAUGCACAUCUCCACGUUUUUUUUUCUCUUGUUCUCUACUUAAGGUCAAGCUGGUUAUUGGAUGUAGAAUAAAGGAAGAAAGCCCUCCUGCUACCCUGAAGGUGAGACUGGAGAGAGGAUAGGGCCCCUUCCUUUUCCUGUAGCAUGGAGCAUCAUCCCCAUCCUAGGAUCCCCACUGGGACUGAAGACUUGCUCUCUUUAGCCUGCCUUUCUGGAAGCUCAGAGCAUUUUUGGCUCCUGAGCUGAGGUGUUUUCAUCUGCCAGAGCAUGGAUUUGUGGAAGAGAGAUGUGAGGAGGGAAGGGCUGUCUAGGUACUCUUUAGUGGUCCCCAUGGCCAAUAAUUUCUUAUUCAUUUGUGUACAAGUCAUGUCUAAUCUUUCCAGGUGACUCUGUGAGUCCUAGCCAUGAAAAGAAAAGCAAAUGCUGGCAGAAAAAUUAAGAUAGUGUUGAGACUUGAGUGAAGGAAUAAUAUUUUUAUUAUUUAUGAUAUAGCCCUGAAAGGUUAAAUUUUUUCUGUUUGCUUAUUAAACCACUUGUUUGUUUUACCUUGAAAUUAUCAGGAAUGCUCCAGGUUCCUCUUUACAUUUUGUUAGUAGUUAGCCUGCAAAAAAACCUUUAAGCAACGUGGCUUGAGACAGCUCCCAAGGGCUUCAACAGCAGCAGCAAAGGAGCUGAAUCCUUCCCACAUGGGCCAGGUUAGUUUGUCCUUUUGCCCCAGCAGUUUCUGCUGCUUG